CCUCCUCUAUCUCUUCUUCUCUCUUCUAUCUCUGCAAAGUCUAUUGCAUUUCUCUGUAAUUGCUUAAACAAAUUCAUGGUAUCAAAGCAGUCGAGCAAGAAUUCUUAGCUCGGUGUUCGAUCUCUGUUCUUCCGCAUAAUUAAUUCUUCAUUGUUGUCUUAUGCAAGUGUAUUCUUUAAAUUCUUUGUCAUCAAUGACGAUUGAAGAUUUGACACCCCCAGAUGCGAGUCAAAAUUCACAUGCAGCGGGUACAACCCAAGAUUUCAAUAUGAAUAAAGCCCCAGAAAUCGACUACAAUUAUCCAUUGUUCUUGUCACCAGCAGAUGUGAGUGGAAUUCGGAUUAUCUUAUUUCAAUUGACAGAAUGCUAGAAUUUUGGUCUCCCGAUAUAAAAUCCGACUAAGAAAGAAGUGUUCCGAAGCACAAGGCAAUAAAGGGCGUAGAAACACAAAUGUGUGGUCCGCAGAAGAAAUUGCAGACCGCAGAAUUCCAUCUGCGGCCCCAGACCAAGAAGAAGAAUUUAGCAGAACUUUGAGCAAUGCACGUUAAUUGUGCAACCGCAGAUCUGGGCUAAGAGUCAAAAAUCAGAGAGUAUGCAAAAAGACCAUGUUCAGGAGCCUUUGUGAAUUGCGGACCACACAAGAAUUGUGCGACCGCAGAAGAUUGCCUUGCGACUGCAGUCCAGAAAUGUGCAGCCGCAAAAGAUUGCCUCGCGGCCGCAACUCAGAAAUGUGCGUCCGCAGAACUCAACUUCCUGCCAACUGAAAAAAUAUGCGGACCGCACAUGGAUUUGUGCAGCCGUAGAACCUCCUGAUGGGUACUUUUGUCCGAGAUUUUCAACCCUGUAUGAAUACAUGAGUUUUACAAAAUUUGGUCAAGUUUGAACAUCUGAAGUUGCUGUAGCCAUUUUUCUUUACUACUUUAGGAAGUUUUACAUUAUUUUGAUGUAUUUACAUUAGAUUUCAUCAUUUUAAUGUUCCGAUAUGUGUUUAAUUA